rnacentral:rRNA from 1 species
CCUACGGGAGGCAGCAGUGGGGAAUAUUGGGCAAUGGGCGCAAGCCUGACCCAGCAACGCCGCGUGAAGGAAGAAGGCUCUCGGGUUGUAAACUCCCUUUGUUAGGGACGCAGCACGCGACGGUACCUGACGAAUAAGCCACGGCUAACUACGUGCCAGCAGCCGCGGUAAUACGUAGGUGGCAAGCGUUAUCCGGAUUUACUGGGUGUAAAGGGCGUGUAGGCGGGACUGCAAGUCAGAUGUGAAAACCACGGGCUCAACCUGUGGCCUGCAUUUGAAACUGUAGUUCUUGAGUACUGGAGAGGCAGACGGAAUUCCUGGUGUAGCGGUGAAAUGCGUAGAUAUUAGGAGGAACACCAGUGGCGAAGGCGGUCUGCUGGACAGCAACUGACGCUGAGGCGCGAAAGCGUGGGGAGCAAACAGGAUUAGAUACCCGGGUAGUC